rnacentral:rRNA from 1 species
ACCUGCCUUAUAGUGGGGGAUAGCCUUUCGAAAGGAAGAUUAAUACCGCAUAAGAUUGUAGUAUCGCAUGAUAUAGCAAUUAAAGGAGCAAUCCGCUGUAAGAUGGACCCGCGUCGCAUUAGCUAGUUGGUGAGGUGAUGGCUCACCAAGGCGACGAUGCGUAGCCGACCUGAGAGGGUGAUCGGCCACAUUGGGACUGAGACACGGCCCAGACUCCUACGGGAGGCAGCAUG